CAUGCAAGUUGAACGAAGCGCUUAAAUGGAUUUCUUCGGAUUGAAGUUUUUGUGACUGAGUGGCGGACGGGUGAGUAACGCGUGGGUAACCUGCCUCAUACAGGGGGAUAACAGUUAGAAAUGACUGCUAAUACCGCAUAAGCGCACAGUGCUGCAUGGCACAGUGUGAAAAACUCCGGUGGUAUGAGAUGGACCCGCGUCUGAUUAGCUAGUUGGUGGGGUAACGGCCUACCAAGGCGACGAUCAGUAGCCGGCCUGAGAGGGUGAACGGCCACAUUGGGACUGAGACACGGCCCAAACUCCUACGGGAGGCAGCAGUGGGGAAUAUUGCACAAUGGGGGAAACCCUGAUGCAGCGACGCCGCGUGAGCGAAGAAGUAUUUCGGUAUGUAAAGCUCUAUCAGCAGGGAAGAAAAUGACGGUACCUGACUAAGAAGCACCGGCUAAAUACGUGCCAGCAGCCGCGGUAAUACGUAUGGUGCAAGCGUUAUCCGGAUUUACUGGGUGUAAAGGGAGCGUAGACGGUUGUGUAAGUCUGAUGUGAAAGCCCGGGGCUCAACCCCGGGACUGCAUUGGAAACUAUGUAACUAGAGUGUCGGAGAGGUAAGCGGAAUUCCUAGUGUAGCGGUGAAAUGCGUAGAUAUUAGGAGGAACACCAGUGGCGAAGGCGGCUUACUGGACGAUCACUGACGUUGAGGCUCGAAAGCGUGGGGAGCAAACAGGAUUAGAUACCCUGGUAGUCCACGCCGUAAACGAUGACUACUAGGUGUCGGGGAGCAAAGCUCUUCGGUGCCGCAGCAAACGCAAUAAGUAGUCCACCUGGGGAGUACGUUCGCAAGAAUGAAACUCAAAGGA
rnacentral:rRNA from 1 species